rnacentral:snRNA from 1 species
AUGCUUGUUUCGGCAGCACAUAUAAUAAAAUUGGAAUGUUACAGAGAUUAGCAUGGCCCCUGCACAAGGGUGACACAUAAAUUCGUGAGGCAUAAGAAAAAAAA